UACGGGAGGCAGCAGUGGGGAAUAUUGCACAAUGGGCGCAAGCCUGAUGCAGCCAUGCCGCGUGUAUGAAGAAGGCCUUCGGGUUGUAAAGUACUUUCAGUCGUGAGGAAGGUGUUAAGGUUAAUAACCUUAGCAAUUGACGUUAGCGACAGAAGAAGCACCGGCUAACUCCGUGCCAGCAGCCGCGGUAAUACGGAGGGUGCGAGCGUUAAUCGGAAUUACUGGGCGUAAAGGGCACGCAGGCGGUUAAUUAAGUUGGAUGUGAAAUCCCCGGGCUUAACCUGGGAAUGGCAUUCAAGCUGGUUAGCUAGAGUCUUGUAGAGGGGGUUAGAAUUCCAUGUGUAGCGGUGAAAUGCGUAGAGAUGUGGAGGAAUACCGGUGGCGAAGGCGGCCCCUGGACAAAGACUGACGCUCAUGUGCGAAAGCGUGGGGAGCAAACG
rnacentral:rRNA from 1 species